rnacentral:rRNA from 1 species
GAUGAACGCUGGCGGCGUGCCUAAUACAUGCAAGUCGAGCGAACGGACGAGAAGCUUGCUUCUCUGAUGUUAGCGGCGGACGGGUGAGUAACACGUGGAUAACCUACUUAUAAGACUGGGAUAACUUCGGGAAACCGGAGCUAAUACCGGAUAAUAUUUUGAACCGCAUGGUUCAAAAGUGAAAGACGGUCUUGCUGUCACUUAUAGAUGGAUCCGCGCUGCAUUAGCUAGUUGGUAAGGUAACGGCUUACCAAGGCAACGAUGCAUAGCCGACCUGAGAGGGUGAUCGGCCACACUGGAGCGGAGACACGGUCCAGACUCCUACGAGAGGCAGCAGUAGGGAAUGUUCCGCAAUGGGCGAAAGCCUGACGGAGCAACGCCGCGUGAGUGAUGAAGGUCUUCGGAUCGUAAAACUCUGUUAUUAGGGAAGAACAUAUGUGUAAGUAACUGUGCACACCUUGACGGUACCUAAUCAGAAAGCCACGGCUAACUACGUG